rnacentral:tRNA from 1 species
AAGUUUAGGUUCAAGCAAACCAAGGGCCUUCAAAGCCCUAAACAGGGACACCGCCCCCUAAC